rnacentral:rRNA from 1 species
AGUGAACGCUGGCGGUAGGCCUAACACAUGCAAGUCGAACGGCAGCACAGUAAGAGCUUGCUCUUACGGGUGGCGAGUGGCGGACGGGUGAGGAAUACAUCGGAAUCUACUUUUUCGUGGGGGAUAACGUAGGGAAACUUACGCUAAUACCGCAUACGACCUACGGGGGAAAGCAGGGGAUCUUCGGACCUUGCGCGAUUGAAUGAGGCGAUGUCGGAUUAGCUAGUUGGCGGGGUAAAGGCCCACCAAGGCGACGAUCCGUAGCUGGUCUGAGAGGAUGAUCAGCCACACUGGAACUGAGACACGGUCCAGACUCCUACGGGAGGCAGCAGUGGGGAAUAUUGGACAAUGGGCGCAAGCCUGAUCCAGCCAUACCGCGUGGGUGAAGAAGGCCUUCGGGUUGUAAAGCCCUUUUGUUGGGAAAGAAAAGCAGCAGGUUAAUACCCCGCUGUUCUGACGGUACCCAAAGAAUAAGCACCGGCUAACUUCGUG